CAGGGUCAGAUGAGGAAAGAUACUCUGGGGAACUCACGCACGCAGAGGAAUAAGAGGAAGCAGCAAUGCUCUGUGUAAAGACACUCCACACACACACUCAGGAAAUGGAAGGUAAUGCUGCUGUUAGAAAGGCAAAUUCAUCUCACCGCUGGGCCUCUGUAUGUGAACAGACUUGGUGCUUUGGAACCAGAAGAAAACUGCUGGGGUCCUGACAGUCCCCUCCCUCCCCGUACUACAGAUGAGCAAGCUGAGACCAGGCGAGGGAAACAGCAGAGGAAAAACCAGAACCUGGCCCAGCCCUGCAGCCUCCUUCUUCACCGAGUGCUGCGGACUCUGUUUUGCCUCGUUUCACCUGCAAGUCCCCAUCAUUGAACUUGUAUUUAUUUUUAUGACUCAUACAGGGAACUCGGCAAGCGUGAUAAAGUGCGAUGUCGGGCAAUAAAAUGCCUUGUUCCAAAGCCG
rnacentral:lncRNA from 1 species